AGGGAGUUUUGGAUCCUGGCUCAGGACGAACGUUGGCGGUGCGCUUAAUGCAUGUAAGUCGAGGGUGAAGCAGUUGUUCCGUAAGGUUCGACUGUGGAAACCGGCGAACGGGUGCGUAACACGUGAGAAACCUGCCCCCCAGACCGGGAUAGCCCAGGGAAACUUGGAUUAAUACCGGAUAUUCUCUUUGGAUCGCAUGAUCCUUUGAGGAAAUGGUCCGCUGCUGGGGGAUGGUCUCGCGGCCUAUCAGGUAGUUGGUGAGGUAAUGGCUCACCAAGCCUAAGACGGGUAGCUGGUCUGAGAGGACGAUCAGCCACACUGGAACUGAGACACGGUCCAGACUCCUACGGGAGGCAGCAGCAGGGAAUAUUGCACAAUGGGCGAAAGCCUGAUGCAGCGACACCGCGUGCGGGAUGACGGCCUUAGGGUUGUAAACCGCUUUCGGGAGGGAAGAAAAUGACGGUACCUCCUAAAGAAGCUCCGGCCAACUACGUGCCAGCAGCCGCGGUAAUACGUAGGGAGCAAACGUUGUCCGGAUUUAUUGGGCGUAAAGGGCUCGUAGGCGGUUCAACAAGUCGGUCGUGAAAGCCCGGGGCUCAACCCCGGGAUGCCGGUCGAAACUGUUGUGACUAGAGUUCGGUAGAGGUGAGUGGAAUUCUCGGUGUAGCGGUGGAAUGCGCAGAUAUCGAGAGGAACACCAUUAGCGAAGGCGGCUCACUGGGCCGAUACUGACGCUGA
rnacentral:rRNA from 1 species